AUUGAACGCUGGCGGCAUGCUUUACACAUGCAAGUCGAACGGUAACAGGCCGCAAGGUGCUGACGAGUGGCUAACGGGUGAGUAAUGCAUCGGAACGUGCCCAGUCGUUGGGGUUAACUACUCGAAAGAGUAGCUAAUACCGCAUACGAUCUAUGGAUGAACUCGGGGGACCGUAAUGCCUCGCGCGAUUGGAUCGGCCGGUGUCAGAUUAGUUAGUUGGUGGGGUAAAGGCUCUCCAAGCCCACGAUCUGUACCUGUUCUCAGAGGACGACCAGCGACACGGGAACUGAGACACGGCCCAGGCUCCUACGGGAGGCAGCAGUGGGGAAUUUUGGACAAUGGGCGCAAGCCUGAUCCAGCAAUGCCGCGUGCAGGAAGAAGGCGUUGGGGUUGUAAACUGCUUUUGUACGGAACGAAACGGCUCUGGUUAAUACCCGGGGCUAAUGACGGUACCGUAAGAAUAAGCACCGGCUAACUACGUG
rnacentral:rRNA from 1 species